rnacentral:lncRNA from 1 species
GAAUUCAUGAUUCUUCUUAUGGAGAACCAAAACCUACCUAAUGUAGCCAGACUGCGGCGAAGGGGACAUCCUAUUCCUUUUUCCAAGCUGGAAAAAUGCAUGGCAAGGAAGUCAUCAUAUACUGCAGUUAUUGUUGCUUCAAAAGAAAAAAUAUACUGCAGUUGUUAUUUGAUCAAAUAAACUCUAAUCCAUAGGACAAAUUUGGUAAUAGGGAGUGUUUUUUUUAAUCUAGUUAUUCGUAAUGUUUUGAAAUAAAAAUGCUUGCAAGUUGCAACAUCUGCUUGGGCCUCAUGUGUAAACAAACAUAUUUUCCCAAUUGGGUUGUCAACUUCACGUGAACCUUUAAGGCUUAAGCUACUUAUUUGAAAUUAAACAAAGAAGGAUAGAACUAUUAUUUGAAACAUCAUAAAUUUUUCUCCAACUAUCCAAGGGAUGCACAGACCCUUGAUCUGCGCUCAUGGACAUGUUCUACAUCUUUAAUGUAAAUCUGUCAUAGGGAAGAAUUUAUCCCGACUUCCUAUUUUUCAACUACCUCGUAUAACUUCUAGUACAUCUUUAUGGAAUGCAGGGGACCUUGUCGGAGGAUUAAUGCAAGUGGAUCACAUAUAUAGGGACGCUACACCAUGGAUUUUGUGGUCUAAGAAGCAAGAUUUGGAGUUUUUUCAAUGCCCAUUUGCAGAAUGGAUUAUACAGGAAGGCUGAAGGUAUGAGGGAUGCAGGAAGCAACAUCCCACAAUCUUCAUGCACCUCCUUGUGUGCAAUUGCAAACAAAAUUGCCUCAACCAGAAAAAAUUCAAAAAUUUGGGAGUUUCUAUGGACAAUCGUAGCAGCUACAUCCUAUGCGAUAUUGGAAGGAACGCAACGGUAGGAUUAAAAAGGGUACUACUACUAAAACACUCAAACAUGGUGGAAAUCACUUUUGAAGAGUCGAAAUUCAAAAAACCACACCGCAAUAAGAAGGAAUCUGCUGCAUAGUGGUGCUGGGAGGCAUAUGCUCUAGCACUAUGUAGUGAUCAACAAGGCAUUAAUUAAAAUAUUUGGUCAGUAUGUAAUAAAACAAAACGAAUAUAUCAGAUUUAUUUCGCAACGUUUUGAACUUCGGAGUUCAAAUCAUGGAUCUGGUGGUUCGACUAAUUUAGAUGGUAG